rnacentral:rRNA from 1 species
UACGUAGGGUGCGAGCGUUAAUCGGAAUUACUGGGCGUAAAGCGUGCGCAGGCGGUUCGUUGUGUCGGCGGUGAAAGCCCCGGGCUUAACCUGGAAAGUGCAGAGGGGACUGUUCAGCUAGAGGAUGGGAGAGGAGCGCGGAAUUCCCGGUGUAGCGGUGAAAUGCGUAGAGAUCGGGAGGAAGGCCGGUGGCGAAGGCGGCGCUCUGGAACAUUUCUGACGCUGAGGCUCGAAAGCGUGGGGAGCAAACAGG